UACGGAGGGUGCAAGCGUUAUCCGGAUUCACUGGGUUUAAAGGGUGCGUAGGCGGACAGGUAAGUCAGUGGUGAAAUCUCUGGGCUUAACUCAGAACUGCCGUUGAUACUAUUUGUCUUGAAUGUCAUGGAGGUAAGCGGAAUAUGUCAUGUAGCGGAUGAAAUGCUUAGAUAUGACAUAGAACACCGAUAGCGAAGGCAGCUUACUACAUGAAGAUUGACG
rnacentral:rRNA from 1 species